AAUUGUACCAGGAUGUACGACUGUAAUAUAUCUGAUGAACUUUUGAUCCUAUUGAAGCUGUUCUCGUGAAUUGACUUCAUUCAUGCAGUUUCUCCUUAUUACAGAUGCAAAGGCUAGUGACAUCCUUUACCCUGGACUCGUAGAAUGUGGUUUUGAAUUACAGACUCACAGAUAGGCUGAGAUGGAAAGGCACCUCUGGAGAUCAGCUUUUGUUUUAGAACAAAGAUAUUUUUCAAAAUAUUCUCACAUGUUAUAGCCCAGACCUACUCCAGGCAUCUUGCAAAGCUACUGAAAGAGCCCUUUCUGAGACAUUUCUAGGAAGAGCAACCAUCCUCUGCCUCAGAAAUAUCCCAAGUAUGAUUUCCUCUUGGCAAAUAAAUUCAACAAUAAUCUGAAACAAAUAAGACAACACUUUAAAUCACUAAAGAAAAUGAAAGAUCUCACUCUGAAGGGAACACCAUUAAAGAGUAAGUAGAAAAUGGAGUCCCAGGUGGGAUGAGAGGAUGGAAACGUUGCAGGCAAAUACAUCUGGAACACAGUCAAGUCAUUGGCUUCAAAUGCACUUAAAUAACCAAGCAUUUGAAAGCUUCUCC